UACGUAGGGUGCGAGCGUUGUCCGGAAUCACUGGGCGUAAAGGGCGCGUAGGUGGCGCGGGAAGUCAACGGUGAAAGUUCGGGGCUCAACCCUGAAUCGGCCGUCGAUACUCCCGGGCUCGAGCACUGUAGAGGCAGAUGGAAUUCCGGGUGUAGCGGUGGAAUGCGUAGAGAUCCGGAAGAACACCGGUGGCGAAGGCGGUCUGCUGGGCAGUUGCUGACACUGAGGCGCGACAGCGUGGGGAUCAAACAGG
rnacentral:rRNA from 1 species